rnacentral:rRNA from 1 species
AGAGUUUGAUCCUGGCUCAGAACGAACGCAGGCGGUAUGCUUUAUACAUGCAAGUCGAAUGCGAAAGCUCUUUCGGGGGUAAGUAGAGUGGCGCACGGGUGAGUAACGCGUAGAUAAUCUACCUUUUAGAUUGGGAUAACCUCGUGAAAAUGAGGCUAAAACCGGAUAAAAUAAGAUAUCAUAUGAUUUUUUAUUGAAAGACGUAAGUUGCUAGAAGAUGAGUCUGCGUAUCAUUAGCUUGUUGGUGGGGUAACGGCUUACCAAGGCUGCGAUGAUUAGUGGGUCUGAGAGGAUGAUCCGCCACACUGGAACUGAGAUACGGUCCAGACUCCUACGGGAGGCAGCAGUAGGGAAUUUUGCGCAAUGGGGGAAACCCUGACGCAGCAAUACCGCGUGGGUGAAGAAGGUCUUUGGAUCGUAAAGCCCUUUGUCUCAGGGAAGAUUAUGACGGUACCUGAGGAAUAAGCACCGGCUAACUCCGUGCCAGCAGCCGCGGUAAUACGGAGGGUGCAAGCGUUGUUCGGAUUCACUGGGCGUAAAGAGCACGUAGGUGGCCUUAUAAGCUAAGGGUGAAAUCCCUAGGCUUAACUUAGGAACUGUUCUUAGAACUGUAGGGCUAGAGAGAGUUAGAGGUAGAUGGAAUUCCUGGUGUAGAGGUGAAAUUCGUAGAUAUCAGGAGGAACACCGGUGGCGAAGGCGGUCUGCUGGAACUUCUCUGACACUGAGGUGCGAAAGCAUGGGUAGCAAACAGGAUUAGAUACCCUGGUAGUCUAUGCUGUAAACGAUGGAUACCAGCUGUUUGGUUGAUCGACCGAUCAAGUGGCGCAGCUAACGCGAUGAGUAUCCCGCCUGGGGAGUACGGUCGCAAGACUAAAACUCAAAGGAAUUGACGGGGGCCCGCACAAGCGGUGGAGUAUGUGGUUUAAUUCGACGCAACGCGAAGAACCUUACCUGGGUUUGACAUCCCUAGACGAUAUUAGAAAUAAUAUUUUCUCUUCGGAGACUGGGUGACAGGUGCUGCAUGGCUGUCGUCAGCUCGUGUCGUGAGAUGUUGGGUUAAGUCCCGCAACGAGCGCAACCCUUAUCCUUAGUUGCCAGCAUUUAAGGUGGGAACUCUAGGGAGACUGCCGGUGUUAAGCCGGAGGAAGGUGGGGAUGACGUCAAGUCCUCAUGGCCCUUAUAUCCAGGGCCACACACGUACUACAAUGGCGACUACAAAGAGCUGCUAAAUCGUGAGAUUAUGCUAAUCUCAAAAAAGUCGUCUCAGUUCGGAUCGCAGUCCGCAACUCGACUGCGUGAAGCUGGAAUCGCUAGUAAUCGCAGAUCAGCAUGCUGUGGUGAAUACGUUCCCGGGCCUUGUACACACCGCCCGUCACACCAUGGGAGUUGAUAUUAGCAGAAAACAUUGGACUAACCCUUUGGGAGGUAGGUGUUCAAGCUAAUGUUGAUGACUGGGGUGAAGUCGUAACAAGGUA